AACGAACGCUGGCGGCGUGCUUAACACAUGCAAGUCGAACGCGAAAGGGACUUCGGUCCUGAGUAAAGUGGCGCACGGGUGAGUAACGCGUAGAUAACCUGUCUUCACGUCUGGAAUAAUACGCCGAAAGGGGUACUAAUACCGGAUAUUCUUGCUUUUCAUAAGUUUUGCAAGGAAAGGUGGCCUCUGAAUAUGCUACUGCGCGAAGAGGGGUCUGCGUACCAUUAGCUAGUAGGUGGGGUAAUGGCCUACCUAGGCUACGAUGGUUAGCGGGUCUGAGAGGAUGAUCCGCCACACUGGCACUGGAACACGGGCCAGACUCCUACGGGAGGCAGCAGUGAGGAAUAUUGCGCAAUGGGGGAAACCCUGACGCAGCGACGCCGCGUGAGUGAGGAAGGCCUUCGGGUCGUAAAGCUCUGUCAAAGGGAAAGAAGUGCAUGAUGGCUAAUACCUGUCAUGUUUGACGGUACCCUUAAAGGAAGCACCGGCUAACUCCGUG
rnacentral:rRNA from 1 species